GCGUGUGUAGUUGAGUGGUAAAACGCAACCUUCCCAAGGUUGAGACAGGGGUUCGAUUCCCCUCACACGCU
rnacentral:tRNA from 1 species